rnacentral:rRNA from 1 species
GUGCCAGCCGCCGCGGUAAUACCGGCAGCCCGAGUGAUGGCCGAUCUUAUUGGGCCUAAAGCGUCCGUAGCCGGCCAGACAAGUCCGUUGGGAAAUCGGCGUGCCUAACACGUCGGCGUCCAGCGGAAACUGUUUGGCUUGGGGCCAGAAGAUCCGAGGGGUACGUCCGGGGUAGGAGUGAAAUCCCGUAAUCCUGGACGGACCACCGGUGGCGAAAGCGCCUCGGAAAGAUGGACCCGACGGUGAGGGACGAAAGCUGGGGUCUCGAACCGGAUUAGAUACCCCUGUAGUCC